GACGUAGGGCGCGAGCGUUGUCCGGAUUUAUUGGGCGUAAAGAGCUCGUAGGCGGCUUGUCGCGUCGUCCGUGAAAACCUGGGGCUCAACCCCAGGCUUGCGGUCGAUACGGGCAGGCUGGAGUUCGGUAGGGGAGACUGGAAUUCCUGGUGUAGCGGUGAAAUGCGCAGAUAUCAGGAGGAACACCGGUGGCGAAGGCGGGUCUCUGGGCCGAUACUGACGCUGAGGAGCGAAAGCGUGGGAGCGAACAGG
rnacentral:rRNA from 1 species